AGCAGCCGCGGUAAUUCCAGCUCCAAUAGCGUAUAUUAAAGUUGUUGCAGUUAAAAAGCUCGUAGUUGAAUUUCGGGAUCAAUACGUUGGUCGUGCUUUCGGGUACGUACUGGCGUCAUUGGUUUCUCUCUUCUGACGAACCAUGAUGUCAUUAAUUUGGUGUUAUGGGGAGUUAGGGCUGUUACUUUGAAAAAAUUAGAGUGUUUAAAGCAGGCUCACGCUUGAAUACAUUAGCAUGGAAUAAUGAAAUAGGACGUUUGACUCUAUUUUGUUGGUUUCUAGGAUCGACGUAAUGAUUAAUAGGGAUAGUUGGGGGCAUUAGUAUUCAAUUGUCAGAGGUGAAAUUCUUGGAUUUAUUGAAGACUAACUACUGCGAAAGCAUUUGCCAAGGAUGUUUUCAUUAAUCAAGAACGAAAGUUAGGGAUCGAAGACGAUCAGAUACCGUCGUAGUCUUAACCAUAAACUAUGCCGACUAGGGAUCGGAUGAUGUUAAUUUUUUAAUGACUCAUUCGGCGCCUUA
rnacentral:rRNA from 1 species